rnacentral:rRNA from 1 species
UACAGAGGAUGCAAGCGUUAUCCGGAAUGAUUGGGCGUAAAGCGUCUGUAGGUGGCUUUUUAAGUCCGCCGUCAAAUCCCAGGGCUCAACUCUGGACAGGCGGUGGAAACUACCAAGCUGGAGUACGGUAGGGGGCAGAGGGAAUUUCCGGUGGAGCGGUGAAAUGCGUGAGAGAGCGGAAAGAACACCAACGGCGAAAGCACUCUGCUGGGCCGAACACUGACACUGAGAGACGAAAGCUAGGGGAGCGAAUGGG